rnacentral:rRNA from 1 species
GAUGAACGCUAGCGAUAGGCUUAACACAUGCAAGUCGAGGGGCAUCACGUCUUCGGAUGGUGGCGACCGGCGCACGGGUGAGUAACACGUAUGCAACCUACCUAUUACUUGGGGAUAGCCCGUCGAAAGGCGGAUUAAUACCCAAUGAGACAGGGGUCCCGCAUGGGGAUAUUUGUUAAAGAUUAAUUGGUAAUAGAUGGGCAUGCGUUCCAUUAGGUAGUUGGUAAGGGUAACGGCCUACCAAGCCGACGAUGGAUAGGGGAACUGAGAGGUUGGCCCCCCACACCGGUACUGAGACAGGGACCGGACUCCUACGGGAGGCAGCAGUGAGGAAUAUUGGUCAAUGGUCGCAAGACUGAACCAGCCAAAUCGCGUGAAGGAAGAAGGUAUUAUGUAUUGUAAACUUCUUUUGUAAGGGGGUAAAGACAGGGACGCGUUCUUGUUUGCAAGUACCUUACGAAUAAGCAUCGGCUAACUCCGUGCCAGCAGCCGCGGUAAUACGGAGGAUGCGAGCGUUAUCCGGAUUUAUUGGGUUUAAAGGGUGCGUAGGUGGGAUGUCAAGUCAGCGGUGAAAAAGCGGAGCUCAACUCCGUUCGUGCCGUUGAAACUGGGAUUCUUGAGUUCGGACGAGGUAUGCGGAAUUCGUAGUGUAGCGGUGAAAUGCAUAGAUAUUACGAAGAACACCGAUAGCGCAGGCAGCAUACCGGGCCGCGACUGACACUGAAGCACGAAAGUGUGGGUAUCAAACAGGAUUAGAUACCCUGGUAGUCCACACAGUAAACGAUGAAUACUGACUGUUUGGUAAGAAUAUUAAGCGGUUAAGCGAAAGCGUUAAGUAUUCCACCUGGGGAGUACGCCGGCAACGGUGAAACUCAAAGGAAUUGACGGGGGCCCGCACAAGCGGAGGAACAUGUGGUUUAAUUCGAUGAUACGCGAGGAACCUUACCCGGGCUCGAACGGCAGGGGAAUGUAUGUGAAAGCAUACAGCUAGCAAUAGUCGCUGUCGAGGUGCUGCAUGGUUGUCGUCAGCUCGUGCCGUGAGGUGUCGGCUUAAGUGCCAUAACGAGCGCAACCCUUACCGUCGGUUACCAUCAAGUAAAGUUGGGGACUCUGGCGGGACUGCCACCGUAAGGUGUGAGGAAGGUGGGGAUGACGUCAAAUCAGCACGGCCCUUACGUCCGGGGCGACACACGUGUUACAAUGGGGGGGACAGAAGGCAGCGACCUGGCGACAGGGAGCGAAUCCCGAAACCCUCUCGUAGUUCGGAUCGGAGUCUGCAACUCGACUCCGUGAAGCUGGAUUCGCUAGUAAUCGCGCAUCAGCCAUGGCGCGGUGAAUACGUUCCCGGGCCUU